rnacentral:rRNA from 1 species
UAUACGACCGUACCGCAAACCGACACUGGUGCGCGAGAUGAGUAUUCUAAGGCGCUUGAGAGAACUCGGGAGAAGGAACUCGGCAAAUUGACACCGUAACUUCGGAAGAAGGUGUGCCCUAUUAGUGUGUAGUGAACAACGAAGCAUGAAUGGGUUGCAAAAAAUCGGUGGCUGCGACUGUUUAUUAAAAACACAGCACUCUGCAAACACGAAAGUGGACGUAUAGGGUGUGACGCCUGCCCGGUGCUGGAAGAUUAAAUGAUGGGGUGCAAGCUCUUGAUUGAAGUCCCAGUAAACGGCGGCCGUAACAAUAACGGUCCUAAGGUAGCGAAAUUCCUUGUCGGGUAAGUUCCGACCUGCACGAAUGGCGUAACGAUGGCCACAUUGUCUCCUCCUGAGACUCAGCGAAGUUGAAAUGUUUGUGAUGAUGCAAUCUCCCCGCGGAAAGACGGAAAGACCCCAUGAACCUUUACUGUAGCUUUGUAUUGGACUUUGAACAGAUCUGUGUAGGAUAGGUGGGAGGCUUUGAAGCAGGGUCGCUAGAUCUUGUGGAGCCAACGUUGAAAUACCACCCUGGUGUGUUUGAGGUUCUAACCUAGGUCCAUUAUCUGGAUCGGGGACAGUGCAUGGUAGGCAGUUUGACUGGGGCGGUCUCCUCCCAAAGCGUAGCGGAGGAGUUCGAAGGUACGCUAGUUACGGUCGGACAUCGUGACGAUAGUGCAAUGGCAUAAGCGUGCUUAACUGCGAGACUGACAAGUCGAGCAGAUGCGAAAGCAGGACAUAGUGAUCCGGUGGUUCUGUAUGGAAGGGCCAUCGCUCAACGGAUAAAAGGUACUCUGGGGAUAACAGGCUGAUACCGCCCAAGAGUUCAUAUCGACGGCGGUGUUUGGCACCUCGAUGUCGGCUCAUCUCAUCCUGGGGCUGUAGCCGGUCCCAAGGGUAUGGCUGUUCGCCAUUUAAAGAGGUACGUGAGCUGGGUUUAAAACGUCGUGAGACAGUUUGGUCCCUAUCUUCCGUGGGCGCUGCAGAUUUGAGGAAGCCUGCUCCUAGUACGAGAGGACCGGAGUGGACACACCUCUGGUGUAUCGGUUGUCACGCCAGUGGCAUUGCCGAGUAGCUAAGUGUGGAAGAGAUAACCGCUGAAAGCAUCUAAGCGGGAAACUCGUUUCAAGAUGAGAUCUGCCGGGGCCUUGAGCCCCCUAAAGAGUCGUUCAAGACCAGGACGUUGAUAGGUCAGGUGUGGAAGCG